GGUUAAGCGACUAAGCGUACACGGUGGAUGCCCUGGCAGUCAGAGGCGAUGAAGGACGUGCUAAUCUGCGAUAAGCGUCGGUAAGGUGAUAUGAACCGUUAUAACCGGCGAUUUCCGAAUGGGGAAACCCAGUGUGAUUCGUCACACUAUCAUUACGUGAAUACAUAGCGUAAUGAAGCGAACCGGGGGAACUGAAACAUCUAAGUACCCCGAGGAAAAGAAAUCAACCGAGAUUCCCCCAGUAGCGGCGAGCGAACGGGGAGCAGCCCAGAGUCUGAAUCAGCUUGUGUGUUAGUGGAACGGUCUGGAAAGUCCGACGGUACAGGGUGAUAGUCCCGUACACCAAAAUGCACAGGUUGUGAACUCGAAGAGUAGGGCGGGACACGUGGUAUCCUGUCUGAAUAUGGGGGGACCAUCCUCCAAGGCUAAAUACUCCUGACUGACCGAUAGUGAACCAGUACCGUGAGGGAAAGGCGAAAAGAACCCCGGCGAGGGGAGUGAAAAAGAACCUGAAACCGUGUACGUACAAGCAGUGGGAGCAUCCUUUUGGGUGUGACUGCGUACCUUUUGUAUAAUGGGUCAGCGACUUAUAUUCUGUAGCAAGGUUAACCGUAUAGGGGAGCCGAAGGGAAACCGAGUCUUAACUGGGCGUUAAGUUGCAGGGUAUAGACCCGAAACCCGGUGAUCUAGCCAUGGGCAGGUUGAAGGUUGGGUAACACUAACUGGAGGACCGAACCGACUAAUGUUGAAAAAUUAGCGGAUGACUUGUGGCUGGGGGUGAAAGGCCAAUCAAACCGGGAGAUAGCUGGUUCUCCCCGAAAGCUAUUUAGGUAGCGCCUCGUGAACUCAUCUUCGGGGGUAGAGCACUGUUUCGGCUAGGGGGUCAUCCCGACUUACCAACCCGAUGCAAACUGCGAAUACCGAAGAAUGUUAUCACGGGAGACACACGGCGGGUGCUAACGUCCGUCGUGAAGAGGGAAACAACCCAGACCGCCAGCUAAGGUCCCAAAGUCAUGGUUAAGUGGGAAACGAUGUGGGAAGGCACAGACAGCCAGGAUGUUGGCUUAGAAGCAGCCAUCAUUUAAAGAAAGCGUAAUAGCUCACUGGUCGAGUCGGCCUGCGCGGAAGAUGUAACGGGGCUAAACCAUGCACCGAAGCUGCGGCAGCGACACUAUGUGUUGUUGGGUAGGGGAGCGUUCUGUAAGCCGUUGAAGGUGUAUCGUGAGGUAUGCUGGAGGUAUCAGAAGUGCGAAUGCUGACAUAAGUAACGAUAAUGCGGGUGAAAAACCCGCACGCCGGAAGACCAAGGGUUCCUGUCCAACGUUAAUCGGGGCAGGGUGAGUCGACCCCUAAGGCGAGGCCGAAAGGCGUAGUCGAUGGGAAACAGGUUAAUAUUCCUGUACUUGGUGUUACUGCGAAGGGGGGACGGAGAAGGCUAUGUUAGCCGGGCGACGGUUGUCCCGGUUUAAGCAUGUAGGCGGAGGUUCCAGGUAAAUCCGGUACCUUUUUAACGCUGAGGUGUGAUGACGAGGCACUACGGUGCUGAAGUAACAAAUGCCCUGCUUCCAGGAAAAGCCUCUAAGCAUCAGGUAACACGAAAUCGUACCCCAAACCGACACAGGUGGUCAGGUAGAGAAUACCAAGGCGCUUGAGAGAACUCGGGUGAAGGAACUAGGCAAAAUGGUGCCGUAACUUCGGGAGAAGGCACGCUGAUAUGUAGGUGAAGUGAUUUACUCAUGGAGCUGAAAUCAGUCGAAGAUACCAGCUGGCUGCAACUGUUUAUUAAAAACACAGCACUGUGCAAACACGAAAGUGGACGUAUACGGUGUGACGCCUGCCCGGUGCCGGAAGGUUAAUUGAUGGGGUUAUCCGUAAGGAGAAGCUCUUGAUCGAAGCCCCGGUAAACGGCGGCCGUAACUAUAACGGUCCUAAGGUAGCGAAAUUCCUUGUCGGGUAAGUUCCGACCUGCACGAAUGGCGUAAUGAUGGCCAGGCUGUCUCCACCCGAGACUCAGUGAAAUUGAACUCGCUGUGAAGAUGCAGUGUACCCGCGGCAAGACGGAAAGACCCCGUGAACCUUUACUAUAGCUUGACACUGAACACUGGUCCUUGAUGUGUAGGAUAGGUGGGAGGCUUUGAAGUGUGGACGCCAGUCUGCAUGGAGCCAUCCUUGAAAUACCACCCUUUAAUGGCUGGUGUUCUAACGUGGACCCGUUACCCGGGUUGCGGACAGUGUCUGGUGGGUAGUUUGACUGGGGCGGUCUCCUCCUAAAGAGUAACGGAGGAGCACGAAGGUUAGCUAAUCCUGGUCGGACAUCAGGAGGUUAGUGCAAAGGCAUAAGCUAGCUUGACUGCGAGAGUGACGGCUCGAGCAGGUGCGAAAGCAGGUCUUAGUGAUCCGGUGGUUCUGAAUGGAAGGGCCAUCGCUCAACGGAUAAAAGGUACUCCGGGGAUAACAGGCUGAUACCGCCCAAGAGUUCAUAUCGACGGCGGUGUUUGGCACCUCGAUGUCGGCUCAUCACAUCCUGGGGCUGAAGUAGGUCCCAAGGGUAUGGCUGUUCGCCAUUUAAAGUGGUACGCGAGCUGGGUUUAGAACGUCGUGAGACAGUUCGGUCCCUAUCUGCCGUGGGCGCUGGAGAAUUGAGGGGGGCUGCUCCUAGUACGAGAGGACCGGAGUGGACGCAUCACUGGUGUUCGGGUUGUCAUGCCAAUGGCAUUGCCCGGUAGCUAAAUGCGGAAGAGAUAAGUGCUGAAAGCAUCUAAGCACGAAACUUGCCCCGAGAUGAGUUCUCCCUGAGACUUUAAGUCUCCUGAAGGAACGUUGAAGACGACGACGUUGAUAGGUCGGGUGUGUAAGUGUAGCGAUACAUUGAGCUAACCGAUACUAAUGAACCGUGAGGCUUAACCUU
rnacentral:rRNA from 1 species